UACGAAGGCCCCGAGCGUUAUCCGGAUUAAUUGGGCGUAAAGGGUGUGUAGGUGGUUUAGCGCAUCUUCUGUUAAAUCUGCGGGCUCAACCCGUAGGCUGCGGGAGAGAUGGCUAGACUAGAGUGCGGGAGAGGUAAGCGGAAUUGCUGGUGUAGGGGUUAAAUCCGUUAAUAUCAGCAGGAACACCAAAUGCGUAGGCAGCUUACUGGAACGCUACUGACACUGAAACACGAAAGCGUGGGGAGCGAAUGGG
rnacentral:rRNA from 1 species